rnacentral:rRNA from 1 species
CAGUAGCCACGGGAAUACGUAGGUGGCAAGCGUUGUCCGGAGUUAUUGGGCGUAAAGGGCUCGCAGGCGGUUUCUUAAGUCUGAUGUGAAAGCCCCCGGCUCAACCGGGGAGGGUCAUAGGAAACUGGGAAACUUGAGUGCAGAAGAGGAGAGUGGAAUUCCACGUGUAGUGGUGAAAUGCGUAGAGAUGUGGAGGAACACCAGUGGCGAAGGCGACUCUCUGGUCUGUAACUGACGCUGAGGAGCGAAAGCGUGGGGAGCGGACAGGAUUAGAUACCCCGUAGUCCCUGUCUCUUAUACA